rnacentral:rRNA from 1 species
AACGUACGCUGGCGGCAUGCCUAACACAUGCAAGUCGAACGAUCCCUUCGGGGAUAGUGGCGCACGGGUGCGUAACGCGUGGGAAUCUGCCCUUGGCUUCGGAAUAACAGUUAGAAAUGACUGCUAAUACCGGAUGAUGUCUUCGGACCAAAGAUUUAUCGGCCAGGGAUGAGCACGCGUAGGAUUAGGUAGUUGGUAAGGUAAAGGCUCACCAAGCCGACGAUCCUUAGCUGGUCUGAGAGGAUGAUCAGCCACACGGGGACUGAGACACGGCCCAGACUCCUACGGGAGGCAGCAGUGGGGAAUAUUGGACAAUGGGCGCAAGCCUGAUCCAGCAAUGCCGCGUGAGUGAUGAAGGCCUUCGGGUCGUAAAGCUCUUUUACCCGGGAUGAUAAUGACAGUACCGGGAGAAUAAGCUCCGGCUAACUCCGUGCCAGCAGCCGCAGUAA